CUUAACUACCUCCUCGUCACCUAGAUCUCAGCCGCCAUCGUCGUGUACGCCUGGGUUGGUGAAGGAGGGAGCACCGCCGGGAGAGAUCGACCGCCGCACCCAUAUCCCGGGUACGCCGCCGGGAGAGAUCGACUGCCGCACCCAUAUCCCGGGUACGCCGCCGGGAGAGAUCGACCGCCGCACCCAUAUCCCGGGUACGUCGCCGGUCGGUGUCCGGGGAGGCGUCAGGGACGUUCCCGAUCGUGCGCAAGCAAGCAAUCGGGCCUAAGCGUCACCAUAGCUUAGCGAAUUGCUCGCCGGUAAUCAGCUCGGCGUCACCAUCCACAUUGUCGUGUGGCCAGCGUCACGUGAACACCGAUAGGAGGGAGGUUACAAGUCACUUGAAGACCAAGUGAGUACCUGUGAAUCUCAAGUCUAAGGCAAGUUGUGCCCUUGAUCACUUUUCUUUACCUAAUAAUGUUUCUGUUAAUCACUGUGACAUGUUCAGAUUAAUUUGAUGGGACCUAAUAUGUUUUCCUAGCAUUAUUUAUCCCUCACCUUGCAAACAGAUGAAUUAUUGGGUAGAUUUGCUAUUGCUCUACCUAGUUUUGGAAAACUAAUGUUUUAUUAUGAUCA